CGGGAUAACUUCGGGAAACCGGAGCUAAUACCGGAUAAUAUAUUGAACCGCAUGGUUCAAUAGUGAAAGACGGUUUUGCUGUCACUUAUAGAUGGAUCCGCGCCGCAUUAGCUAGUUGGUAAGGUAACGGCUUACCAAGGCAACGAUGCGUAGCCGACCUGAGAGGGUGAUCGGCCACACUGGAACUGAGACACGGUCCAG
rnacentral:rRNA from 1 species